rnacentral:rRNA from 1 species
GAUGAACGCUGGCGGCGUGCCUAAUACAUGCAAGUCGAGCGAACAGACGAGGAGCUUGCUCCUCUGCCGUUAGCGGCGGACGGGUGAGUACCACGUGGAUAACCUACCUAUAAGACUGGGAUAACUUCGGGCAACCGGAGCUAAUACCGGAUAAUAUCUUGAACCGCAUGGUUCAUUAGUGAAAGCCGGUUUUGCUGUUACUUAUAGAUGGAUUCGGGCCGCAUGAGCUAGCUGGUAAGGUCACGGCUUACCAAGGCAACGAUGCGUAGCCGACCUGGGUGGGGGGUCGGCCACACGGGAACUGAGACACGGUCCAGACUCCUACGGGAGGGAGCAGUAGGGAAUCGUCCGCAAUGGGGGGAAGCUUGGCCGAACAACGCCGCGUGAGUGAUGAAGGUCUUCGGAUUGUAAAACUCUGUUAAUAGGGAAGAACAAAUGUGUAAGGAAAUAUGCACGUCUUGACGGUACCGAAUCAAAAAGCCACGGCUAACUACGUG